CGCCCGCCCCGCCUGGCCCGCGAGCGCGGUUAGAUCUUGCGGAAAGCAGCCGCGGGGCCGCCGCCCGCAGCACCAGACGCUCCGGCGCCAGGACAGAGGACCUUCUGCAUCACCUCUCACUGCGCCUCCACCCGUUCAGCAAGAUGUCUGUGAAGGAAGGCGCGCAGCGCAAGUGGGCGGCGCUGAAGGAGAAGCUGGGGUCUCCGGAAUCUGACCCCACGGAGGCCAACCUGGAGAGCGCAGAGCCUGAGCUGUGCAUCCGGCUGCUACAGAUGCCCUCCGUGGUCAACUACUCAGGUCUGCGCAAGCGCCUGGAGAGCAGUGAUGGCGGCUGGAUGGUGCAGUUCCUGGAGCAGAGCGGCCUGGACCUGCUGCUGGAGGCCCUGGCGCGGCUGUCAGGGCGUGGUGUGGCCCGCAUUGCGGACGCCCUGCUGCAGCUCACCUGCAUCAGCUGUGUGCGUGCAGUCAUGAACUCACAGCAGGGCAUCGAGUACAUCCUCAGCAACCAGGGUUACGUGCGCCAGCUCUCCCAGGCCCUGGAUACAUCCAAUGUGAUGGUCAAGAAGCAGGUGUUUGAGCUGUUGGCUGCUCUGUGCAUCUAUUCACCUGAGGGCCAUGCACUGACCCUAGAUGCCCUGGACCAUUACAAGACGGUGUGCAGCCAGCAGUACCGCUUCAGUGUCAUCAUGAAUGAGCUCUCAGACAGUGACAACGUACCCUAUGUGGUCACCCUACUCAGCGUGAUCAACGCCAUCAUUCUGGGUCCUGAGGAUCUCCGCACUCGUGCGCAGCUGCGGAGCGAGUUCAUUGGGCUCCAGCUGCUGGAUAUUCUGACCCGGCUACGAGAUCUAGAGGAUGCUGAUCUGCUGAUCCAGCUGGAAGCCUUCGAAGAGGCCAAAGCGGAGGAUGAGGAGGAAUUGCAGCGUGUUUGUGAUGGUAUCAACAUGAACAGCCACCAGGAAGUCUUUGCCUCCCUGUUCCACAAGGUGAGCUGUUCCCCAGCAUCAGCCCAGCUGCUGUCGGUCCUGCAGGGCCUCAUGCACCUGGAGCCCGCUGGCCGCUCGGGCCAGCUGCUCUGGGAGGCCCUGGAGAACCUGGUGAACCGGGCUGUGCUCCUGGCCAGCGAUGCCCAGGCUUGCACCCUGGAGGAGGUAGUUGAGCGACUGCUGUCCAUCAAAGGGCGGCCCCGACCAAGCCCCCUGGACAAGGCCCACAAGAGUGUCCAGGCCAACCUAGGCCAGAACCAGGACAGCUCCUCCCAAGACACUACUGCUCCCACAGCUAAAGUGGAAGGCCGGCAGCCAGUAGUGGCUCCUACCUGCCAACAUGUGGGCAGCACCCAGCCCUCCAGUGAUGACCUAGCUCCGCAGCCAACAGCCCUUCAGCAGGCAGCCUCACCUCUACCUACCCCACCGCUCUCCAGCUCCACCCCUGUGCUCCCCCCACCCCCACCCCCACCCCCCCUGCCGGGCCCAGGGGCCAUAUCUCUUCUCCCAGCACCCCCAGCACCCCCUCCACCCCCACCCUUACCACCCCCCUUGCCAGCCUCAGGGACCAUAUCUGCUCCUCUACCCCCACCCCCACCUCCCCUGCCAGGCUCAAAGGCCACAUCUCCCCCAGCACCUCCGCCACCUCCACCUCUGUCUGACGCCUGGAGGACCCUGCCCCCACCCCCACCCCCACUCCCUGGCAUGGGGUGCCCACCUCUCCCCCCUCCCCCUCCCCCACUGCCUGGAACAGGCGGCGGGAUCCCUCCCCCACCUCCUCCCCUGCCUGGUUCCUCUGUCCCGUCCAUGGUGGGUGCUGUGGAGGAGAUCAUUGUGGCUCAGGUGGACCACAGCCUGGGCUCAGCCUGGGUCCCCAGUCACCGAAGGGUGAAUCCACCCACACUGCGUAUGAAGAAGCUGAACUGGCAGAAGCUGCCAUCCAAUGUGGCACGAGAGCGUAACUCCAUGUGGGCAACACUGAGCAGCCCCUGCACAGAGGUGCUGGAGCCUGACUUCUCCAGUAUAGAGCAGCUGUUCUCCUUCCCCACGGCGAAGCCCAAGGAGCCCUCUGCUGCCCCCAUCAGGAAGGAACCCAAAGAGGUCACUUUUCUAGACUCCAAAAAGAGCCUGAACCUCAACAUCUUCCUGAAGCAAUUUAAAUGCUCCAAUGAGGAAGUCACCACCAUGAUCCGGGCUGGAGACACAACCAAGUUUGAUGUAGAGAUUCUCAAACAGCUCCUAAAGCUCCUUCCAGAAAAGCAUGAGAUUGAGAACCUGCGGGCGUUCACUGAGGAGCGGGCCAAACUGGCCAGUGCUGACCAGUUCUACGUUCUCCUCCUGGACAUUCCCUGCUACCAGCUGCGGGUGGAGUGCAUGAUGCUAUGUGAGGGCACGGCCAUCGUACUGGACAUGGUGCGGCCUAAGGCCCAGCUGGUGCUCGCCGCCUGCGAGAGCCUGCUCACCAGCCAGCGGCUGCCCAUCUUCUGCCAGCUGAUCCUCAAGAUCGGGAACUUCCUCAACUAUGGCAGCCACACGGGAGAUGCGGACGGUUUCAAGAUCAGCACAUUGCUGAAGCUCACAGAGACCAAGUCCCAACAGAGUCGCGUGACGCUGCUGCACCAUGUGCUUGAGGAAGUGGAGAAAAGCCACCCAGACCUCCUCCAGCUGCCACGGGACUUGGAACCACCCUCUCAAGCUGCAGGAAUCAACUUGGAGAUCAUCCGCUCAGAGGCCAGUGCCAACCUAAAGAAGCUUCUGGAAACAGAGCGGAAGGUGUCCACCUCAGUCCCUGAGGUGCAAAAGCAGUAUGCUGAGCGCCUCCAGGCCAGCAUUGAGGCCUCUCGGGCACUGGACAAGGUGUUUGAGGACAUUGAGCAGAAGAAGCUGGAGCUGGCUGACUACCUGUGCGAAGACCCCCAGCAGCUGUCUCUGGAGGACACGUUCAGCACCAUGAAGACCUUCCGAGACCUCUUCACCCGUGCCCUGAAGGAGAACAAGGACCGGAAGGAGCAGAUGGCGAAGGCAGAGAAGAGAAAGCAGCAGUUGGCAGAGGAGGAGGCACGGAGGCCGAGGGGCGAGGACGGGAAGCCUGUCCGGAAGGGACCUGGGAAACAAGAGGAGGUGUGUGUCAUCGAUGCCCUGCUGGCCGACAUCAGGAAGGGCUUCCAGCUACGGAAGACAGCCCGGGGCCGAGGGGACACCGAGGCGGGCAGCAGAGUGGUUCCAGCAGAUCCUCCAAAGGCCACAGAGCCUGCAGCUGCCACCAGCCCUAUACAAGCCACAAACCACCCUGCCUCAGAGCCAAGCUUGGAUACUACGGCAGCUGGCGAGCCACAGGGCUGGGACCUUGUGGACGCUGUAACCCCCAGCCCCCAGCCCACCCAGGAGGAAGGUGGUCCCCCAGCCCUGGAGAGGCGCUCUUCCUGGUAUGUGGAUGCCAGUGACUUCCUGGUCCCUGAAGAUGCCCUGAAUGCCCAGCCCUCUGAGGGGGUCUGGCCAGUGACUCUGGGAGAUGACCAGGCCCUGAAGCCCCUCGAGUUCUCUAGCAAAAAGCCUCCUGGAGUCCAGAGCUCACACCAGGAUGCUAUGGAUCCUGAAGCCUUGUGGGGUGUCCACCAAGCCAAGGCUGACAGCACCAGAGAGGGACCAGAGGAUACAGCUGAGCGCGGCCACAGCACCCACCUCCCCUGCACAGGCCCAGGAGAGGAUGAGGAUGAGGACGACACAGCCCCAGAAUCCGCACUUGACACGUCCCUGGACAGGUCCUUUUCUGAGGAUGCAGUGACAGAUUCCUCGGGGUCAGGAACCCUCCCCAGGGUCCGAGGCCGGGUCUCAAAGGGGACGAGCAAGCGAAGGAAGAAACGCUCCUCAAGGAACCAAGAAGGGCCUGGGACCUCUCCCUGCCAUCCAGCUGGUCCCUCCCCUAUCCCUGCGGGUACUACAGGCUCAACCAGCGUCCAGGAGAGAGGGUGAUUCAGUGGGGACACAGCACUUCACACAGAGGGUGGCGGCUUUGGGGGCCACUGCCAGCACCACCCUCACCUGCAAAUUCCUGCCUUCACACCCUUCACUUCUGCAGGGAGUGGAGCAGGGUGGCCCUGGGCUCUCGCUGAUGCAGGGUGGUCUGGCACUAAGGUCCUGGCUGUCUCUGCCUUUGUCACCGUGACCAGAGAGUCUGGGCUUUGGUCUGGCGGUUUGUCUCUGCCCCUGACCAAGAGUGUUGGCGUGGCUAGCUUGGCCCCCUCAGAUCCCACCACCCUGAGUUCAGGGCUGCCCACCUGUGAUAAGCUGAUGAGUGUGUUUCUUUUAUUUGAAAGCAGAGUUUGCCCCUGAUUCUGAUGAUAAUAAAACAAAAAGGCUGUGUGUGAUCCAGUGAGGCCUCAGGUCCAGGCCCAAAGCUAAAUGAGUGCCCUCAACGGCUCAGCACAGCAGCAGGGUGCUGGAUGUGCUGCCUGGAGAGGCUCUUCGGGGCCAGGCUGGGACUGGGCCCCCCGAGAAACCGAAACUCCGUGCCUUACCCAGCCAGGAUCCUUGGAAGCCUUGGCCAUUGAUGUUAGGACCUGGCCUGGCAUCACCCUGGACCACCUGCACGCUUAUAACCUCACAAUCUGCUUUGCAAACCACUACCCACCCCGUCGCAUGCACCACAGGGGUGGGAGGGAGCCUCCCGUCUGGCUCUAGGGAGAUAGGUGCAGACACCUGCAAUGGGCUGCAGCAUCCGCAGCCUGCCUCCUGGGCUCAGUUGAUUUUUAGCUGAGUACUGUUUGCUGCAUCUUCAUUCUGCUGUGGCUGAGUUGGGGAUAGUGAGGGAGGCUUGCUGGCAGUGCUGGGGUGGGACCUAGCUGGUAGGCCCCAGGGAACAAGGCAAGCUGAAUAAUGGAUGGUGACCACAGCAGCUGCCUUCUCCCUCAGUGUCUGCCCAGCAAGGAACAGGCUGCCCCUGCUCAGCCCCUUUGCCCCCACUCCCAGGUAUGCACUGUUGAGUCUGGAGUCCAGCAGGGAUUUUAACCAAUAAAGAGUAACCUUGUCUGCCA